rnacentral:rRNA from 1 species
AUUGAACGCUGGCGGAAUGCUUUACACAUGCAAGUCGAACGGCAGCACGGGGGCAACCCUGGUGGCGAGUGGCGAACGGGUGAGUAAUACAUCGGAACGUGCCCAGUCGUGGGGGAUAACGUAGCGAAAGCUACGCUAAUACCGCAUACGAUCUCUGGAUGAAAGCGGGGGACCGCAAGGCCUCGCGCGAUUGGCGCGGCCGAUGGCAGAUUAGGUAGUUGGUGGGGUAAAGGCCUACCAAGCCGACGAUCUGUAGCUGGUAUGAGAGGACGACCGGCCACACUGGGACUGAGACACGGCCCAGACUCCUACGGGAGGCAGCAGUGGGGAAUUUUGGACAAUGGGCGCAAGCCUGAUCCAGCCAUUCCGCGUGCAGGAUGAAGGCCCUCGGGUUGUAAACUUCUUUUGUACGGAACGAAAAGGCGCGGGUUAAUACCCUGUGCCGAUGACGGUACCGUAAGAAUAAGCACCGGCUAACUACGUGCCAGCCGCCGCCGUAAGAC